rnacentral:rRNA from 1 species
AAACAGGGGGCUCGAGCGUUAAUCGGAAUCACUGGGCUUAAAGGGUGCGUAGGCGGACCAGAGGGUGUAUCGUGAAAGCCCCCGGCUCAACCGGGGAACUGCGACGCAAACCGCUGGUCUUGAGGUGGGUAGGGGUCGCUGGAACGCUCGGUGGAGCGGUGAAAUGCGUAGAUAUCGAGCGGAACGCCGAAGGUGAAGACAGGCGACUGGGCCCAUCCUGACGCUGAGGCACGAAAGCGUGGGGAUCAAACAGGAUUAGAUACCCUGGUAGUCCACGCCCUAAACGAUGCGCACUGGAUCGGUGCAGGUCUGACCCUGUAUCGGUCGGAGAGAAAUUGUUAAGUGCGCCGCCUGGGAAGUACGGUCGCAAGGCUAAA